rnacentral:rRNA from 1 species
GUUAUCGAGUGCACUUCAAUGUGACUCUUUAUCUUUACCAUCACCCCCUCAAACCCAAAGGUAUAGUGUGUGCGCAAGCAUAGCAUUAUACCAGUACGCAUGCAGAGUUGACUUUGUAUUGCAUUACCCAUAAGUUACCCCCUUUACCAUUACACUUAAAAAGUUUUAAGAAUGAAUCAAUACCCUAACAAUAUAACUUUCAGCAAUGGAUCUCUAGGCUCUCACGUCGAUGAAGAACGCAGUGAAAUGUGAUACGUAAUGUGAAUUGCAGAAUUCAGUGAAUCAUCGAAUCUUUGAACGCACUUUGCACCUUUUGGUGAUUCCAAAAGGUACACCUGUUUGAAUGUCACGAAACCCCCCUCAUGGCUAACGCUUUCUCAAAGCGUUGGUGAUGGAUUCUGAGUGUUGCUGUUUCUCAACAGCUCACUUUAAAUACAUGAGCACUUUUUGACAGUCCUGCAUGGGUUCAAAAGACGUACUUGAUGUUAUAUUGAUAUCUCAUUAGGAUGGUCUUGGGUUGUAAGACUCUCUGCCUGUGUCAUGACUUGAUGAAUAGCUUCGAACCUGACAUAUAUCAAGCUGAUGUGACUCUCACAAAGCUCCAUGUGUGUGUGGGCAUCAUAUGACCACUCAUUGUUUUUGGGCAGGUACAUCAUCAGCUUGUGUCAUGACUGUUUAGACUUCAAAUCAGGUGGGAUUACCCGCUGAACUUAAGCAUAUCAAUAAGCGGAGGAAAAGAAAAUAACCAUGAUUCCCUUAGUAACGGCGAGUGAACUGGGAGAAGCC